rnacentral:sRNA from 1 species
AUUUUUGUUUUAUGUUUUGAUCUUCUCAUAUUUGUGUUGAAUCAGCGGAUUGUAAAGACGAAGAACAUGUCCAAAUGUAGCUCCAUGAUCAUCGAGAAGAAAUUAAUGAACAAGACUACUCAUGUGAAGCAAAUGAAAAUUGUAAGGAAGAGAUGCAACACGAGAGAGAGGUACUUGAUCCAUAACCUCUCUAGAAUCAUGACUUCACAGAAUAUUCCCGGAAUUUAUCUAACUUUUGUUUGUUCCCCAUAAAAUUCCGCAAAAUGGGUUGUGGUGGAACCAAAUGGGUGGGUUCUUGUUGACUCAGACAAGUUGGUACAUAAUGACCCGGGCCGUGAGUCCCUACCGGUUCACUCCCACACGGUUCACUCCCACCUUACUAAUGUGUUGUCUCUAAAAACCAUUCUUCUCCGCAUGAAGAACCGAAUGAAGACCAUCAACACUAUUGGGAGGAAGGACAUUCCGAAAACUAUGAUUAAAAAGAUCAAUUGCAUCCAAGUAAUUGAAGUUGCCAUUGCAAUCAACUCUAGAGACAGCGCGAACUGCUCCGUCGGCCAAAUUAUACACUCGGAAAGGAAGCUUUCUAAGUUCGAGGUAACAAUCCAUUAGAUACUUUUUCGAUUAUUUUAGUAA